rnacentral:rRNA from 1 species
GACGUAGGGCGCGAGCGUUGUCCGGAUUUAUUGGGCGUAAAGAACUCGUAGGCGGCUUGUCGCGUCGAAUGUGAAAUCUCAGGGCUCAACUCUGACAUUGCAUUCGAUACGGGCAGGCUCGAGUUCGGUAGGGGAGACUGGAAUUCCUGGUGUAGCGGUGAAAUGCGCAGAUAUCAGGAGGAACACCGGUGGCGAAGGCGGGUCUCUGGGCCGAUACUGACGCUGAGGAGCGAAAGCGUGGGGAGCGAACAGG